GGGCGGUGCUGGCGGGAGUGAGGGGGUGGAAUGCGUUUUUCAGUUGAGCUGCACCUAAAACACUAAGUGAGGGACCCGGACCCCUUCCUCACCCCCACCCCUCCUGGCGAGGGAGGGGAGGCCGGUGAAGGACGCGAGGUGUCCUAGGGCCUGGGAGCCUGGACGCGGGGGCCCCUCCUGGCCUCCGCAGACUUCUUCCCGUGGGGCAGCGCUGUGGGGGCGUGCCCCGCCCCUCCUCCCCCAGCGGCCCCCAGCCUGGCCUGGGCGAACCCCCUCCUCUCCAGAAAGGCCCGAGACCCCGGCCUGGCUGGUGCGGCCCUUCCCCUAGCGGUGCAUGGUGCUUGGCGCGGGAGAGUGCAGCCUGGCUCCUGGCACAGGACUCCUGCAUGGCAAACUGGGCUUACCCUCCCCGCCCAGCUCCUCUUACAAAACAAAAACAAAAAAAGAUACACACACACACACACACACACACACACAAAAAAAAAAAACAACAACAACAAAAACAAAAAACCCAGCCCCAAACCUUCGUGUUUCCCGAUUUGCAGCGAUUUCUACCGCUUGAGGUGCCUUGUCUUGGAGAGGGUGUCCACGCCUGGGCGCACAAAGCUGCAUGCCUGCUCUAGUCCCAGCGCUGACGUGACAGACUCCGGCCGUGCAAUGGAUGUAUUUAUGUACUCGGCCUGAAACUGCAUCUCACAAGAUCCCCACCAAGAGACAGAUUUGUGUACCAUAGAGAAGUUUCUACAUGAGGAUUGAUGCCUUGAGGGGGAAAAAGUAAUAAGUACCUUCAAGAGCUCCUGCUUCUCAACUCUGCUCCAACAAGGCAAGAUUCUGAGAGUGGCUGUCCCUGGGAAGCAGACUCCAUUCUUGUGGCUCUCCCAUUGGCUCCUGAGACUUUCAUCAGAGAUGGGGCCCCUUUAACUGCUGGGAGCAUCCACUGUUGCUCAGGCACUGAAGCCGCUGUCAUGAGUGUGUGUCCUGACCAGAGAAGCUGAGCUUUGGUGAGAUGACAGUGCAAGAACUACAAACACGUGUGGUCAUCCUGGUGGAGAACUGAAUGCAGAUACUCAAAAAGGAAGGUAUGCCUUCUCAGAAUGCUGCGCUUUCCCAAGAGGUGACUGUGGAAGAGAAAGAAAUGAAUAAGGGAUUGCAGCUGGCCAGAUCCCAGGUGAGUUGUGUUUUCCUCUCUACACUGCUAUCAUUGUUCUCAGAAUGUAGGCACUUUUCAUUUUUCAAGUCUCAAAAUCCAGAACCAAGAGACUCUAGGUCUUUUCUACUUCCAGCACUUUCACCAGACUCAUUUUCAUGAACUGCUGUGCUAAAUGUUGUGACUGUCUUUUAGUCACCCUUCACUUACAUAGCUGGCCAGAAUUUAAACACUUGCUGUUCUCUCUGUAUGUCCAGUGAGCAAAUGAUGCCCCAUUCACUGUGAGUAUUCGGAGCUAAUGGGAUUAUUAAAUAUGCUUGAUGAUAUUUGCUGCCACACGCUAUUGUCUGUCAACACACUAUUGCAUUUCUUCGGAAACCUUUGUAAGCCUAUUGUUAUAAUUCUGUAAUUUGAGUAAGUAUUAUCUAAAUUGAUAGGAUAUGGAUGUGAUAAGCAGUUGUUGCUAAGAAAGCCAAUUGAAUGCUUUGGAAAGACUCAGUAAAAUAAUUCCAGUCACUUUCCAAAAAAAUGCUAUCAAAAAAAAAAUGUGAGCAAAAUUGUAAACUGAAGACAUAAAAACUCUCAGAGGAUUCUAUGCAUUUUUUUAUUUAUUUAACAGGUAGAGUUAUAGACAGUGAGAGAGACAGAGAGAAAGGUCUUCUUUCCAUUGGUUCACUCCCCAAAUGGCCACUAUAGCCAGUACUGUGCGAUCUGAAGCUAGGAGCCAGGUGCUUCUUCCCAGUCUCUCAUGCGGGUGCAGGGCCCAAGCACUUGGGCCAUCCUCCACUGCCCUCCCGGGCCACAGCAGAGAGCUGGACUGGAAGAGGAGCUACCGGGGCUAGAACCCGGUGCCCAUAUGGGAUGCCGGGGCUGCAGGCGGAGGAUUAGCCAAGUGAGCCAUGGCGCUGGCAUGGCUAUGCAUUUUUUAUUUCAGAGUCAUUUGCUCAUUCUACUUUAACAAAGCAAACACACAUUAUGGGGAUGACCAGUCAUUAAAGCCACUCUCACAGAAAAGUCAGUUUUUUUUCAGAAGAUGAGAGAAUGAAUAUACAUUUAUGUUUUAAAUUGAAAUUUCAGAUAUCUUUUAUGAAUCUCUACUUUAUUUUUUUUUUAUCUUUUAUUUAAUGAAUAUAAAUUUCCAAAGUACGUCUCAUGGGUUACAAUGGCUUUCCCCCCCAUACCGUCCCUCCCACCCACCACCCUCCCCUUUCCCACUCCCUCUCCCCUUCCAUUCACAUCAAGAUUCAUUUUCGAUUAUCUUAGUAUAAAGAAGAUCAGCUUAUUAUACCUUAAGUAAGGAUUUCAACAGUUUGUUCCCACACAGAAACAUAAAGUGAAAAAUAAUAGAUGAUUUUUUUUUAAAUGAUGAUGAAAUCAGAUCAGACCUAUUGUCAUGUUUAAUCCUAGUGAGAGUCAAGUUGGGAAUUGAUAGUUUCUUUUUUUUUUUUUUAACAGAAGAUCAGUUUAGUGUACAUUAAGUAAAGAUUUCAACAGUUUGCACCCCCAUAGAAACACAAAGUGAAAUAUACUGUUUGAGUACUCGUUAUAGCAUUAAGCCUCAGUGUACAGCACAUUAAGGACAGAGAUCCUACAUGAGGAGUAAGUGCACAGUGACUCCUGUUGUUGACUUUACCAAUUGACACUCCUGUUUAUGGCAUCAGUAAUCUCCCUAUGCACCAGUCAUGAGUUUCCAAGGCUAUGGAAGCCCCUUGAGUUCUCCGACUCUUAUCUUGUUUAGACAAGGUCAUAGUCAAAGUGGAGGUUCUCUCCUCCCUUCAGAGAAAGGCACCUCCCUCUUUGAAGACCUGUUCUUUCCACUGGGAUCUCACUCACAGAGAUCUUUUUGCCAGAGUGACUUGGCUUUCCAUGCCUGAAAUACUCUCAUGGGCUUUUCAGCCAGAUCUGAGUGCCUUUAGGGCUGAUUCUGAGGCCAGAGUGCUAUUUAGGACAUCCGCCAUUCUAUGAGUCUGCUGAGUAUCUCACUUCCCAUGUUGGAUCACUCUCCCCUUUAUUUAUGAAUCUCUACUUUAAAUAGCUGUUUAGCUUAACAAAAAAGAUGCCAGUGUCAAUUGCUUCAACUUACUGUUCUUCAGAUAUACAUCAGUGAGUAAAACAUACAUGGUCCUAAACCCUAAGGAACUCACUGACAGACAUUUGAAAAUAUUCUAAUAAACUGAAAAUUAGAUGUUUCUUUCCCUUAAAGUGUUUUAUUUUAAAGGCAGAGUUAGAGAGAGGGAGAGACAGAGAGAGAGGUCUUUCAACCACUGGUUCACUGCCCUGAGUGGGCCUGGAACUCCAUCCAAGUAUCCCAAGUGGGUGUCAAGGUCUGGAGUACUUCAACCACCUUCCUCUGCAUUUCCAUGCCAUUAGCAGGGACCUGGAUCGGAAGUGGAGCUUCCAGGACAUGAACCUGUGCCGAUAUGGAGUGGCAGCAUCACAGGUAGCGGCUUAACACACUACGUACACCACAAUAUCAGCCCCAUAAGAUUAGUUGUUUUUCACACAAAGUAAGAAUAAUGUGCUGGGGCUGGCACUGUGGCGUAGCAGGUUAAGCCUCCAUCUGCAGCACCAGCAUCCCAUAUGGGUGCCAGUUCAAGUCCCUGCUGCUCCACUUCUGAUGCAGCUCCCUGCUAAUGUGCCUGGGAAAGCAGUGGAAGAUGGCCUAGGUGUUUGGGCCCUUGCACCCACAUAGAAGACCUGGAGGAAACUCCUGGCUCCUAGCUUUGGAUUAGUCCAGCUCUGGCUGUUGCAACCAUUUGCAGAGUGAACCAGCGAAUGGAAGACUUCUCCUCUCUGCCUUUGUCUCUUCCUCUCUGUAACUCCACCUUUCAAGUAAAAUAAAUAAAUCUUUAAAAAGAGAGAAGGAGAAGAAGGUGCUAAUAAUGCUUCUUAAAGGAAUUGUCAAAACUCAGCGGAAACAAAAUGUAAAGUGAGAUAUGAAGGCAAUAUAAGUAGAAAAGAGCAUUUUCGGCAUGUGCUAAAUACUAUAUACAACAGCCAUGGGUACUGAGAAAAUGAAAAAAGGCCACCAUGAUCAGGGUGCAGGAAGGGAGAGAGUGAGGUAAGGUGAGCUGAGAGAAAGUGAGCAGGAGCUAAAUCCUGAGGCCUUGUGGCCAUGAAUAAAAGUUUGAGUUUUACUCUUUUUUUAAAGAUUUAUUUAUUUGAAAGUCAGAGUUACACAGAGAGAGGAGAGGCAGAGAGAACUUCUCAUCCCAAGUACUUGGGCCAUCUUCUGAUACUUUCCCAGGCUCAUUAGCAGGGAGCUGGAUGGGAAGUGGAACAGCCGGGACUUGAACCAGUGCUCACAUGGGAUGCUGGCACUGCAGGUGGUGGCUUAACCCAGUAUGCCACAGCACUGGUCCUUGUUUGUAUACUUUUCUACUGGAUUCCUAACCUCUCACUGAUUUAGGGAAGUGUUUUACAUAUUAGAAAGAUUUGGGGCUGACCCAUGGCACAACCGGUAAAGCUGACACCUGCAGUGCUGGCAUCCCAUAUGGCACAGAUUCUAGUCCUGGCUGCUCCAUUUCCCAUCUGCUGUGGCCUGGGAAAGCAGUAGAAAAUGCCCCAAGUGCUUGGGACCCAGAACCUGUGUGGGAGAAACUCCUGGCUCCUGUCUUCCAUCAGCCCAGCUGUGGUCAUUGCAGCCGUUUGGGGAGUGAAUCAGCAGAUGGAAGACAUUUCUGUCUUUUCCUCUCAGUCUGUAAUUCUACCUCUCAAAUAAAUGAAAUCUUAAGAAAAAAAAAAAAGACUGAGCUCUUUUAGGGCAUCCCAUAUGGGUUCCAGUACAAGUCUCGGCUGCUCCACUUCUGAUCCAGCUCCCUGUAAUGAGCCUGGGAAAGCAUUGGAAGAUGGCCCAAGUACUUGGGCCCCUGCACCCAAAUGGGAGACCCAGAAGAAACUCCUGGCUCCUGGCUUCUGACUGAGCUCUGGCUGUUGUGGACAUUUUGAGAGUGAAUCAAUGGAUGGAAGAUUGAUUUCUCGCUCUCUCUCUCUCUCCCCCCUCCAUCUCUGUAACUCUGCCUUUCAAAUAAAUAAAUCUUUUAACAAAUAUAUACAAACAACUUAAAAAGACAAUUAACAGGAAAGAAGAUUCAUGUAGAUCUUAAACACAUGAAAAUGUACAUCUAUACUCAUAACAAGAAGAAAAAAUUUUAAAAAUUUAUUUCAUAUAUUUGAAAGUAAGAGUUACACAGAGAGAGGAGAGGCAGAGAAAAAGAAUCUUCCAUCUAUUGGUUCACUCCCCAGAUGGCUGCAAUGGCUGGAGCUGUGCCAAUCUGAAGCCAGGAGCUAGAGGCUUCUUUCGGGUCUCCCACAUGGGUGCAGGGGGCCCAAAGACUUGGGCCAUCUUCUACUGCUUUCCCAGGCCAUAGCAGAGAGCUGGAUAGGAAGAGGAGCAGCAGGGAUUAGAACUGGUGCCCAUAUGGAAUGCCAGUGCUUCAAGGCAGGGCUUUAACCCACUGUGCCACAGUGCUAGCCCCAACAAGAAAAAAUUUACAUUAAAACUAGAGUGGGCAGGUGUUUUGCCUGGCAGUUAAGAUACCAGUUAGGACACCUGCAUCCCAUAAUUGGAGUACCUGGGUUCAGUUCUUGGCUCCAGUUUCCUACUGGUGUAAACCCUGGGAGUCAGUGGUGAUGGUUCAGGUGCUUAAACUCCUGCCACUCAUGGGGAGGACCUGGACUGAGUCCCCAGUUCCUGACUUCAGCCCAGCCCAGCCCAGCUCCAGCCCCAGCCCUGUGGGGGCAUUUGAGGAGUAGGCCAGUGGGUGGGAGCUCACUCGCUUUUGUUUUAAAAUUGAUUUGUCUCAAAUCAAUUUUCUAAAAAAAGUAGAAAAAGCUUGAUGUUUUAUCACCGAAUUUGUUAUUGCCCACAAGCUUGAUAUUUUCUACAAGCUCAGUAACAUACUAUCUCAGCAGAGCUGUGAGAAAACAGGUACUCUCUUGCUGCUAUUGUGAGUGGGUGGCUGAUGGCACAUUCAGAAAAAAUGACCAAGAUAUCAGCCACCCCAAAGGCUUUGUUUACAGUGUGACUUAGACUCCUCCAUUGUGGUCAUGGAAGUCUGUGUACCCUGUUGAGUACAGUCAAUCCUGUAACUGUGGUGGAAGCCAAGCCAUAUGACUCUAAAGACAGAUCAUAAAAGACAGGGAGAAGUCUUCAUUCUCUUGGGGAUGCUUGCUCUAAACUCAGCCACUUUGCCUUGAAGAAACCCAGACAGCCCAUGGAGAAGCCCACAUGGCGAGGAGCCAAGGCCCAGAGCCCCAGCAGAGUCCUUGCCAGCCCUGUGAGUGAGCCAUCGUGGCCAUUCCUCAGGCAGGCCUUUCCUGCUCAUGCUACCUAGACCGGAGGCCAACUGCCCACUAAGUCCUGCCCAAAUGGCAGAUUAUUUUAACAAAAUAAAUGGUGGUUGCUGCCAAUACAAGAACCUAAGCCAUAUAGCAUGGGCUGUAGAAACUGAGCAGUGGGAGGAAGUUAGAAGGGAAAAGAUUGAUACUGAAAUUAUAAAGGGCCUCAUGGAGACAAGGUGGAAAUCUAAAGGGUCUUUGUCAAGAGCUUUAGGGAUGGUAAGGACAAUAGUAUUAGAUGCUGGAGGAAAGAGGACCCUUAAAGAAGAAAUGCUGGGUGACAUUGUCCUCUUCAGUAACAGAAAAUAGGGGGUGUGCUUAAUGAACUUGAUCUAGCUAAGCAGACUUUUCAGGUGUAAGACUGGAAUUACCAACUGAGAGCUUCUGGCUGACCAAAAUGAAAUGUGAGAGGAAAAAGAGAAGCUAAAUAAAGACCUGAUAAAUAUAAAAAAUCCAGGAAUUACUGAAUGUCUCAUACUAACCCAAGCAGCAGACAACAAUCAAUUUCAGAAAGGGCUUCACAGCAAAACUCAAACCCUUUGUGACAACUUGAGAAAGAUCCAGGGCUGUGCCUCAUAGGCCAACCCACUGUGUGAAACACGAGGCUUCUGAGGAUGGUGAAGGUGGCAUGCCCUGAGUCACAGGAAAUACAAAGGAGAGACUGACUUGUCUCAGAGAGAUUUGUGGGUGUGAUCUUUAUUAUGAAUUGGUACACAGUUACAUUUUAUCAGCUUCCAUUGUAAGGAAUGGAGAGUGCUUUUGAACCAUCAAACUUCAAUGGGCAGAAAGCAGUCUGUGAAAACUACACAGCCUCAAGCACAGGCUACUUUUAAUGGUGGGAGGACCAUGACUCAGGGCAGAACUAAAGCACAGAGGGUGGAACCAAGAAUGACAGAGAACAACUCUCAGAGAAUAGAACUAAACCCUAAUUAACAACCUGGCAACUGGUGCUCAGCUCAGCUACUUUUCACAAUUGCUGCAGCCUCUGCUGACUCAAACAAGAUUAUCUAGUGGUUAUUCCUAGGCCUUUCCCACAUUGUAUGUUGGUUAAGGGAGGGAGGUGGGGCCAAAUAACUGUUUAAUCCACAGGACAAGAGAGAGAGAGAGAGAGAGAGAGAGAGAGAGAGAAUAUGAAUGAGAAUUCAAGGAAGCACACCCAAAGAACUGAACUCCAAGAUCUUCAUCUGCAUGUGAACCUGACUGAGAUGACAAGAUCUUGACUUAAUGGCUGAUGUAAUAAGGGACAAAAUUUGGGAGUCUCAGGGAAGAAGAUGGGUGUGCUUUGUGUGUGAGAGGGUUGUGACUUUUUUGGGCCAAAGGGUCAGCUGUGGCAGAUUGUAUUUUCCCAAAACAGAAACAGUUUCCCCCAUCCCACGGGCUUCUCCCACAACAUGGGUUAAAUGUGGUUUAAAUACACUUCCCAUCAGGAGGCAAGGAUCUGUGCCCCUUCCCCUUGGGUCUGAGGAUGCCUGUUGACUAUGGAGGAAGUGAAACUGUGUGACUUCCAAAGCCAGGUCAUAAAAGGUGAUUCUCUAGGGAUGCUUGCUCUUGGGAUCCAGCCAGCACACCACGAGGAAGCCCACACUGCCUAUGGAGAGGUCCAUCUGGACAGAAACUGAGGACCCUUGGCUGAGCAUGAGACUGACCACAAGCACCAGUUUGCAAGUCUUGUGAGUGAGCCAUCUUGAAAAACGAAUCCAGCCCCAAAUUGAGCCACUCCAUCAGGAACCACAUGGAACAAAGAUGGACUAUUUCCACUGAGUGCUGCCCACAUUAAUGGAUUUUGUGAACAAAAUAAAUGAGUAUUCUUAUUUUGAGCCAUUAAAUUUGAGGGGGAGUUUGUUACAUAGAAAUAGAGAAAUGCUGCAGAAUGUAUGUUGAUACAGCCCAUAUAGAUGUCAGUUUGACAACAUGGAUUGAAAUUACAGAUUCAUGCACUGCUUCACCAAACACCAUGUUGCUGCAAUUAGAUGUGUACAGAGUUACAGCAUAUUAGACAAGCAUGAUCAUUCACCACAGCAUUGUUUGUCAUAGCAAAAAGAGUGGAAAGCAGCCAAAACAUCUGUCAAUAGCCUAAAUAAAUGAUUGAAUACAAUAAAUCACCAUGUAGCUCUAAAAUAGUAAUGAGAAAAUUAUAUAUAAACUGAUGUGAAGGGAUUUCCAGGAUAAAUUGUUAAAUGAAAAAAAGCAAAAUGCACAAAGAAUGUCUGUUAUGUGCUACUUUUUGUGUAAAGAAGGGUGAAAUAAAAUUAUAUGCAAAAAACAAAAGACUACAGAAGGAUAAUCCUGAGUCCAAUGAUACUGGUUACCUUCAGGGUUUGUAUAGGAGUAGGGUAGAUAAGAUAGAAGGAAUGGGAAGGCAGGUAGAAGGAGUAAUACUUCACCAAAUAUACCUUUUUGUAUAGUUCUGAUUUCUGAAGCAAUGAUAAUUCUUCAUAUACAGUAAGGAAUUACAAUGAUAGGAAGAGAACCUAAAAUUGAAUACAAACAGAAAAAACAAUCAAACUGUAUUUCAAUAAUUGACUAAACCACAUUGAAGGAGGCCAAAUGAAAAAGGAAUUAAUGCAAAUACCAUUUGAAUCUAAGCCUUUAGACUGUAUACCCUCAGGCUAAUAGUAGAACAACUCUAAAAACUGAACUCUGAUCUUUAGGCUCCUUUUGUGUACAGGCUUAUAGUAGUAACACCAAAAUCAUUUUGUUUACAUCAUAUGAUUAAGCAAGUAAGUAAAUCAGUGUGAAUAAUGCGAGCCAAGUAUCUCAUGGACAAAGAAAUAUGAGAAGAGAGUGUAGAAUGACUCUUGCUUGCCAUGUUGAAUUAGAAUUAGAGGCAUUGAUAUGAACUCAUGUAUACAUAUAAAAUAUAUAUACAUAUAUAGGUAUACAUCUAUAUUCAUAUAGAAAUGGAUAUGAAGUUAGGAAUGCACAUGGGUGUGUAUUCUGUGCAUUCAUUGGUCAUGUAUCCAUCAUUAUAUGUGUGUGUUUAUAUACACACAUACCUUUAUUCUCCAGAUACAACUGCUAAAAUAACAUAGAAGCAGGGGCACUCCAGUAACAUUGAAUGUUAGCACUCGGAUCUUGAUUUCUAAAUGCAAUUAUUUUUUCAUUGAGAGGAACCAAAGAUCCUUGGAGGAAUGGCUGAUUGCAGACUUGAGACAAAGUGCAAGAUGAACCUUGAAAGAACACCUUUCUGUCUUAAAACGUAAACUGCUGAGAGAAUGAUAGGAUGUGUCAAAAGGACACAGAAGUCAGUUUGAUGAUGCUUCUCCUGGGUGACUCUAGAGCAAUCAGUGUUAAAAUACCUGCUCAUAAUACAGGAUUAUAACUCACUGGAUGAAAUAAUCAUAAACCCAAGCCAAUAUAAAUUAACAAGAAGAGAAACAGCAGAAAGCCAACCAAUAAUGUAUAAAGAAUAAUGGAAUUAGAGAAACAGCAUCAGGCAAGAAUUACCAGUGAGUACAAAAACUAGGGGGUAAAAGUAUGGAGGUGAACAAAAUAUUUACACAGGUUCAAAAUACCUCCCCAGAUACACAUUAUAGGAUAAAAUAAUAACUCUCCAAUGGAAAUUAGCUAAAUUAUCGAAGUUAACAUUGCCAACUCAUGGGACUUACCAGCAGUCUGUGCCUUUCUGUUUCUGUAUGAGUGUGUACUGUGAAUCUAGUCAGGAGGAGAUCCCAGAUUGUAAAAUAGCCUGUUGCAGUUCAAAAUGUCAGUGUCAUGAGAUAGAAAGGCUUGGGAGCUGUUGUGAAUUAAAGGAGACAACCAAAUGGAGCUCAGGACCUUAGAUUUUCUUUGUUUCAGGACAUUUUUAAUUGAUGAAAUCCUAUCAGGAAUUGAGUUUAGAAAACAGUACCUUAUUGAAGUUAACUUCCUGAUUUUGACCAUUGAACUAUCAUAAUAGAAUUCCUUGUUUUUAGGAAAUAUACACCAAGUGUUCCUGGUGUUUAAGGGCAUCAUGUAUGCAAACUACUCUCUUUUUUAUAUUCGAUUUACUUAUUUAUUUGAAAGUCAGAGUUACAGGGAGAGAGGAGGAGACAGAGAGAUUCUUCCAUCUGUUGGUUCACUCCCCAAAUGGCCACAAUAACCAAGGCUGGACUAAACCAAAGCCAGGAGCCUGGAGCUUCAUCCUGGUCUCCCGCAUUGAUGUCAGGGCCCCAAGCUCUUGGGCCAUCCUCCACUGCUUUCCCAGGCUACUAGCAGGGAGCUGGAUGUGGAGUAGAGCAGCUGGGACACAAAUUGAUGCCCAUAUGGGAUGCUGGUGUGGCAGGCAGCAGCUUUACUCACUAUGCCUAAGGCUGGUCCCUGCAAAUUACUCUUAACCAGUUUAGAAAAAAGUAUAGAGAGAAGAAAAAAGGAUGGGGGUUUCUUUUAUUCUUACAACAUUUUAAAGUCUGAAAUUAUGUCUAAAAGGUUUGUUUUUUAAAAAUGAGAACACUAAAAAUGCUAUUUUCUAGCUUUUUUGAAGUGAAAAUUAUAGGACUGUUUACUGUUCAAUCUGUCACCAGGAUUUAUUUUUCUUAUUUAUUGGGAAAAUCACUGGGAGACACGCACUAGAAAGAAAAAUCUGAUUGGGCUCCUGGGAGUGUCACCUCUGACUUCUCACCAUGCCUCUUCAACCUCCUCUGACAACCUCCUCCCCCUUCAAGCAUGAAGCUUUACCUGGGCCUACCUCCAGGGAUGAAAACAGACUCCUCUACUCCCUGGGGAGACCAUCAGGCUUCCCUUUCUCCCAUGACCAGAAACUGUCUGGAUUGCAGCCAGGUCCAGGAUGCCCCAGCUUUUCUGCAAACAACCUUGCCCCAAAAGAGGGUUGGACAUGAAGCAAACCAGUGUUCUCCCAUCAAAAGCAUCAUAACUCAUUUAACAUUGACAGUAUAUGUGCUUUUAAAUCCUUUUUCCUAGAUUAGAAAAACAACAGUUGUUUCUUUUACCUUUUAUUUCAGCUGCAUUCCAGAUAAUAAAAUCACUUAUAAUUAAGCCAAUAUAUUUACUUUUUUAAAAGAUUUAUUUAUUUAUUUGAAAGUCAGAGUUACUCAGAGAGAGAAAGAGAGAGAGAGAGAGAGAGAGAUGUUUUCCAUCCACUGUUGCACUCUCCAAUUGGCCACAAUGGCUGGAGCUAUGCCAAUCUGAAGCCAGGAGCCUCUUCCAGGUCUUCCAUGUGUGUGCAGGGGCUCAAGGACUUGGGCCAUCUUCUUCUGUUUUCCCAGGCCAUAGCAGAGAGCUGGAUCGGAAGUGGAGCAGCCAGGGCCCGAACAAGUGCCAUAUGGAAUGCCGGCAUUGAAGGUGGCAGCUUUACCCACUACACCACAGCACUAGCCCUUAGAUUUACUUUUGCUGUGUUGCCCCAGAUUUUAGAUUUACUUUUGCUAUGUUGCCCCAGAUUAUGAAAAAGUAUAAUUACAUAUAAUUAAAAAUGAGCAGUAUAUCUUACCCGAGUGAAGCUUUGAGCUGAUCAGGAUGAGCUUUGUUGAGAAAUCCAUGUUUGGAUAGCAAGCGAGCCCUUCAGGGGCCUGGGGCACAGAGCAUGGCAGGCUUGGGCAGAGUGAGAUGAAGACAGGCACGUGGCAGGGCCUUGUGGCCACAUGAGAACUUUGCCGUGUUCUCUGAGAGAUUUGGGGAGCCAUGGUGGGGAUGUGAGCACAAACAUGACAUGCCGAGAUUGACAUUUUCAAAGGAUCAUCUGGCAGCUAGGUUGGGGCUAGA